CAAAAUUCCAAAAGUUUGCCCUUCGACGGUCCCAUACAAAAAAGUACAAGAGAAAAAAAUGGCGUAAAAAAUGAUUUGGAAGAGGAAGUUUCAUGAGAAAUGAAGGAAACCACGUGAUGCGACACGACGCAAUGUCAUGGGGGGAUGGGGAAUGUGGUGGUUUUUCUUUAUGAUGGAUAUGGCAAGCCAUCGUGGUCGAUGUUACAUUAGCAGCAAAAUUCUAAGGCAAGAAGUAAUGGCAUUUCUAUGGAUGGUGGGUUGUUACUGUGGAAAUUCCUGCGGGUUUCAUGGUUGACCCUCUUUAGUCCGUUUUCCCCGUAGUUUUUUUUUUAUUAAUGUAUAUUCGGGUUGAUUAUCUGAUACAUUUAGGAAUAUUUUAUUUCUAUUAAUUUUAAAAUUCGAAUAUCUUUUUCAAAUUCGUAUAUAUUAGGUGCUUGAAUUUCGAAUGUACUAGAUGUUUGGAGUAUCUAUUAGGG